ACACUCAUGUUUCUCUUCAGAUCGUAUAAAUCUUUCGCCUUUUACUAAAGAUUUCCGUGGAGAGGAACAUCAUGAGUUAUAACUAAUUUUUUGAUGUCCUGCCUAGUGUGGGGCU